rnacentral:ncRNA from 2 species
AACCUAAUAAAAAUACCCCUUCAUAUAUCCUCGGCAAUACGGGCUGAGAGUCUCUACCGGAACACCACAAAUGUUCUGACUAUGAAGGCAGAACGUCAUUUG